rnacentral:rRNA from 1 species
CGGAGGAAAAGAAACUAACCAGGAUUCCCUCAGUAGCGGCGAGCGAAGCGGGAAAAGCCCAAUAUGAAAAGCCUGCUUGCAGGCGUUGUAGUUGAGCGCUCUUGGGGUGUCAGUGUUGGUAAGUUGCAUGGAAAUGCACACCGUGGAGGGUGAGAGUCCCGUCCAGCCUACACAGGACACUCCGUUCUAGAGCGUUUCAGUCGAGUCGGGUAGCUUGGGAAUGCUGCUCUAAUCGGUGGUAAAUCUCAUCGAAGGCUAAAUACUGGCUGAAUACCGAUAGCGAACAAGUACCGUGAGGGAAAGUUGAAAAGCACUUUGAAAAGAGGGUGAAAAGAACCUGAAACCGUCAUGGGGGAAGCGGAUUGCGUUGAGUUGAGUGAGUCUUUGUGUGUUCAGCCCUUUUGGGUGCAUUGACAUGAGAUUCGAAUCGUUGUGGGUUUCCGAGGAUGGAAAUUGCAUUCUCGGGGGCUGAGGGCUCCCUUCUUGUAAGGUCUGAGGACAACGAUGUAGCGACGCGAUACGACCCGUCUUGAAACACGGACCAAGGAGUCUAGCGUGAUUGCGAGUCUAAGGGUGUUGAAACCUGACGGCGCAGUGAAAGCGAAUAAUUUAAAAAUGAGCAAUUUGAGGCGGCAUAGAAUCGUUGAUUCUAAGUCCGACCUAGAGCCAUUACGCUGGGACCCGAAAGAUGGUGAACUAUGCCGGAGUAGGGCGAAGCCAGAGGAAACUCUGGUGGAGGCUCGUAGCGGUGCUGACGUGCAAAUCGCUCGUCUAACUUGGGUAUAGGGGCGAAAGACUAAUCGAACCAUCUAGUAGCUGGUUCCCUCCGAAGUUUCUCUCAGGAUAGCGGGCCGACAAUUUGAGUUGUUCUGUGUGGUAAAGCGAAUGAUUAGCGUAUUUGGGGACAUCUAGUCUUCGGGCGAUUCUCAAACUUUAAAUACUCAGGGGUGUCGCUGCUUGGUUGAGCGGCACCGGUAAAAACGUCGGCCCUGUGGGCCACUUUUGGUAAGCAGAACUGGCGAUACGGGAUGAACCGUAAGCAUGGUUAAGGUGCCAAACUGCCCGCUUAUAGAUCCCACAAAAGGUGUUGAUUCAUCGAGACAGCAGGACGGUGGCCAUGGAAGUCGGAAUCCGCUAAGGAGUGUGUAACAACUCACCUGCCGAAUGAAUUAGCCCUGAAAAUGGAUGGCGCUGAAGCGGGCGACCGACACCAUGCCGUUUGGGCAAGAAAUAGCUCAGAUGAGUAGGAGGGCGUGGGGAUUGUGUCGAAGCAUGCGUGCAAACGUGUGUGGAACGGUCUCUAGUGCAGAUCUUGGUGGUAGUAGCAAGUAUUCAAGUGAGAUCCUUGAAGGGCGAAGCGGGGAAGGGUUCCACGCGAACAUUGAUUGGGCGUGGGUGAGUCGUUCCUAAGCCGAGUGGCAAUUGCUAAGUAGCGGCGAAAGGGAAGCGGGUUGACAUUCCCGCACACGGAUGUGGAGGCGGUGACGCACUACUGGGACGGAGACGCUGGCGACGGCGCUGGGCAGAGUUGUCUUUUCUGUUUGACCGUGCGAAAAAGCUGUGUGGAAUCCGCUUGUCGGGAGAAACACGCUUAUUCGGGCAGAGCGCCGGGACUUUUCCGGCGUCCAGCUCGCCGUCGACGGCCCUUGAAAAUCUGUCUGCUGAUUUAAUCCACGCCGUGGCGUACCGAUCACCGCAUCAGGUCCCCAAGGUGAACAGCCUCUGCUCGAUAUGAAAAAUGCAGGUAAGGGAAGUCGGCAAAUUAGACCCGUAACUUUGGGAAAAGGGUUGGCUCUAGUGCUGCGUGGGAGUGGUUGUCGGUUGGCGACGUAACAAGCGUGGCGGCAUGGCGCGAUGACCGCAAGGUUGUUGUUCCGGCUGCUGGGCGUGUUGCGGCACGGCCGACGACGCCCACAGCAUGCAGCAAACUAGAACUGCAACGGGCAAAGGGAAUCCGACUGUUUAAUUAAAACAAAGCAUUGCGAGGGCCGUGGCCGGUGAUGACGCAAU